UUAAAUUUUACCAAUGGCAGAAAUACUGAAUUCAAAAUAAUUAGUGGAUUUUACUUUUUUAGUACAGAUUCAUACUUACAGGAUAAUGUGACAGAUUGUAUUUAAGAAUUCCAUAUACCCACCUCCACUCCUUCAUAGUUUCCCCUUUUAUUAAAGUCUUGCUUUCGUGUAAUACAUUUGUUAGGUUUAGAGAUUUGAUGACCCUGUGUUGAUACCCUAUUGUUAAGGAUAGUCCAUAGUUUGCAUUAAGGUUCAUUCUGUGUGUUGUACACUCUGUGGGUUUUGAUAAAUUCAUAGUGACAUGUAAACUAUCAUUGCAGUAACAUAGAGCAGUUUCACUGCCCUAAAAAUCCCCUGUUCUUCACCUUUGCAUCCAUCCCCUCCCUUUCCCCAAGCCCCUGGCAACCACUGAUCUUUUUAUGGUCUCUUUAAUUUUGCUUUUUCCAAAAUGUCAUAGCGUUGGAAUCAUAAACUUUAUUUUUAAGCCACGUUUGCUUGCUUCUGUGACGUUCCGCUCAGCAGUAAUUGUAAGAAAAUAGCAGCAAAACCAGCUACUCAUACGUCCUUUUUUAACAUUUAUUUUCAUGACACUAUUUCUUUAUCUCAUUUGACCAGGUAAAUAGGAUUUAUGUGGUUUAAUAGCUUGAACACAGACAUUCUCAUCGAGCAAAUGUGUGUGCGUAUUCACUCAUUUAUGUUAUGUCGCAGGACAAAAUAUUACUAAUUUGCAUGUAAUGCAUUAUAUUCAUGUCCAAACAUGUUUGUCAGUCUUUUCAUUGCUUAGGAAUGUCUGCUGUUCAUUUUAAAAAGGCACAAAUAGCAUUGCCUGUGUCUCGUAACACCCUGUAGGAGAAUUCUCCUCACGUCAAGUGAUGAUUCCAACUUCCUAACACAUACGCACCAAACCAGAAGUUUCAGACGUGCAGUCGGCUGUUAGCAUACAUACAGAUUGCUUUGGGUAAAUAGUAUGAUUCAUGAAAGUUCUGGAAAAUAAGUAGGUCAUGGAAAAAUAUAAUAAUUCGGAAAUAUGGAAAACUUAGGGUAAAAUUUAAAUGUGUGUAUUGAACCCUUUUAAAAGGCUGGUGUUUUCAAUUUGAAUGUGAAAGCGUAAAAACAUAAACGUUAAAGCACAAAGAGUCUAUUAUGUUAUACAUAUGUUCUGAAUUUUCUUCAGGAAUCAAUCAUUUCUCAACCUAACACUUCAGAGAUGAAGAUAAAGCGGCUUAAUUAAAUAUUCAUUCAAGUAUCUUUCCCUUUAACUCAUUCAGUACUUUUGAAACCAAGUUCUAGAAGUAAACAUAGGGUAUUUCUGCACGUUUCCUUUUAUUCUCUCAUCCGUGCUUUUAGAAAAAUUAGUUUGUGUUUCCUUUCUUCAGUAUACUUUGCGUUAAUUUUUCUUGGUCUGUUUCAUAAAUUCACACUUUAUAGCUAUUGUAUUUAAGAGUUUGCCCUUGAACAUACAGAGGAGAGAAGAAAACUCACUGGGCUUGAAAGCAAGGUGAAUGAUGACCAUCAGGGCACAUGCAAGAUGAAAUCUGAAAAAAGUAAGAUUUCUUUUUAGUAAAAUAACGCAGUAGAGAGGAAAGCGAAGUGCAUGCCUCUUCACAAAUUGGUGUUUGGUGACUUUAACCCUUAGAGCAGAAAUGGCCAGGCACAGAUGAGCAGGUUGCCUGCUUUUUAAGCACGGCACUCAUCUUUUUAAAAUUUCAUAUGCUAAUGAGGAGAGCUAAGACAGGUACCUGUUGUGCAUUUCAUGGCAGAGGGGAAUUCGGCUCUUUAAUUAAAGUGUACGUGCCUUCAAAAGAGGAAUGCAAUGCAAAUUAAAAGCUCCAUGAUAUAGGAUAUGGAAUCAUAGAUUUAGUUGAUCCCCCUUUAUUUUACAUGAAAUGCACAGUAAGUUUCUUUAAGCGCUUCCUAUGAAAAGUGACUGUUCAGUUCCUCACCAAGUCAAACAUGAAAACUUACAUAAAAUCAUUUUCUGCUGAGAUAGAAGAAGCAAAUAAUGCUCUGCUGUUUCAUCUUGUGAUGAGACUGGCCAACAUCUCUCCCAAAUUAUUUUCAUAUGUUUAUGUAUUAUUGUCGUAAUAGAUACAGACUGAGCUAUGGAUUGAUAAGGAAUUUUUGUAUUGCGGAAUUAAGAAAUAAGACCACUCAAUAAAAUGUAUUCCAGAAACUGUCACACUGGCCUGUGGGCCCAUCUAAUUAAACUCAAAAAAUAAGAGAAAAAAAAAAAGAUUGAUGUCAAAUAAUGGUCUUCUGUAUUUUAAAAGAAAAUGCGUUUGUUAAAAAUCUUAUAUGGACCCUAAAAAUGCUCACAGUAUUUUGAUCUGUUCAGCUGCCUUUGUUAAAUGUCUCUGUUUGGUUGUUUAGCAAACACUGCGCCUUCAGAGUGGCUGUAGUUAUGUGAUCCUGUAUCAGAAUGUAUCUUAAGCUGAAUUCACUAGGUCAGGUCAUUUCUGAGAGCUAUGGUGAUAGAUUAGGUUCGGUUUGGAAUUUGGGGUUCUCAAAAGAGAAGCUUGUUUGCUUCUGUCCCACAAUUUCCAGUGUUACUUAAAAGCACUUAAUGCCCUUAAUUCAUCCUUUAUUAUAAUUGUAUGAAGUUUGGAAUUAAUGUUACUCUUUUAUAGGGGGAUAAACCCAGACCUAGAGAAUUUUAAUGAUGAUACCAAGAUUGGACAAUUAGUAAGUAACAGAGUAGUAGGUCAUGAAUUCAAGUCUCUUGUGCUCAAAUCAAAUUUUCUGUCUAUCAUAACCACAUAACAGGCUAUAAAGCAGAUUCUUAUAACCGUGAAGCCAUGAGCUAUAUCAUAUCAGGCAAGUUACUUUACAGUCUUUUCUAAACACGGCCAUGAAAUGAUUUCUCAAAAAGUUAUAAGAAUAAAAUUAGACAUAUUCUAUUAAAUGCUGGCUGGCUGGCUGCCUGGCUCACUGGCUGGCUCACUGGCUGGCUGGAUAAAUAGAUGGAUGGAGAGAUGGAUGGACAGAUACUAGGGCACAUUCUUUUUGUGUGUCUCUUUGUGCACGUUUAUAUGUACACAGAUGCCACUUCUCUAAAAAUCCCUGGUGCCAACAAAGGUGAAACAGCUUAUAAAUCUUGGAUAACAUUUAGCCAGGUGGUCCACAACCAUGACAACACCUAAGAGUCUCUGGAGGGCUUUCCAAAGAUGAGGUGGUGUCCAGAUAUUUUUUGCUUCUUUUUAAGAUUACCAGGUGAUUAAAAGAAUACAUGACCAACCUUAAAAACACUUAAUCAUGCCAGGGCCAUAAUAAGAUUCAGCUGUUGUGAGUGGUCGACUAGAGGAAACAUAUCUAAUGCUCUGAGUACUAACACAUAGGAGAUUUUAGAUGCAUUUUUACAUCCAUUCGACAAAAUGCCCAAGGCUGAAGUUGUAAUUUAAAACGUUUAUUUUAGAAAAAGAUGAUCCGAUUAGAAUAGCUAGCAUGCAAUCCUCAGAUCUCUGAAGGGAAUCCGUUUACUAGGAUAUUGUCCAUCAUGUUUUUUAUUGAGUGGAUUAUUUUGAGUAAAAUUACUUUUCACACUUUUGAAGGAAUGAUAAUAUGCAAAUAAAAUACUAUUUAUACUUAUCUGGGUUUUCACAUGUUUUGUUAAAAAAUUAUUUAUUAUAUUUGAUUUACAUAGAAAAUUGAUGGAACACUGUAAACCAGCUAUAUUGGAAAAAAAUAAAAA
rnacentral:lncRNA from 1 species